AUUGAACGCUGGCGGAAUGCUUUACACAUGCAAGUCGAACGGCAGCACGGACUUCGGUCUGGUGGCGAGUGGCGAACGGGUGAGUAAUGUAUCGGAACGUGCCCAGUCGUGGGGGAUAACGUAGUGAAAGUUACGCUAAUACCGCAUACGAUCUAAGAAUGAAAGCGGGGGAUCGCAAGACCUCGCGCGAUUGGAGCGGCCGAUAUCAGAUUAGGUAGUUGGUGGGGUAAAGGCUCACCAAGCCAACGAUCUGUAGCUGGUCUGAGAGGACGGCCAGCCACACUGGAACUGAGACACGGUCCAGACUCCUACGGGAGGCAGCAGUGGGGAAUUUUGGACAAUGGACGCAAGUCUGAUCCAGCCAUUCCGCGUGCAGGAUGAAGGCCCUCGGGUUGUAAACUGCUUUUGUACAGAACGAAAAGGUUUCUACUAAUACUAGGAGCUCAUGACGGUACUGUAAGAAUAAGCACCGGCUAACUACGUGCCAGCAGCCGCGGUAA
rnacentral:rRNA from 1 species